rnacentral:rRNA from 6 species
UGGUCCCACCUGACCCCAUGCCGAACUCAGAAGUGAAACGCCGUAGCGCCGAUGGUAGUGUGGGGUCUCCCCAUGUGAGAGUAGGGAACUGCCAGGCA